rnacentral:lncRNA from 1 species
UCUGGGACAGCCCGGGUUCAGGGUGUGAUGAAGGGCGGCGCACUGGGGAGGCUGCCCCGCACCUGCGAGAGCGCGAGGGGUGGGGACUGUGGUCUCAGAGUUAAUCAGGAGGUUUCGGAAGAAUUCUUUUUUUUUUUCAACUGUCUUCUACCAGGACUUUCUGAUUUUCCUGGUUCCCGAAUCCCCACAUCUCGACAACACAGCUCCAUCCCCAUCCCCGAGAACCUCGAUCUUUGACCCGCCAGUAGGGGGUCGGAACCGUAUACAGCGAGUGCAUUAGUGUCCACGCACAUCUGUCUGUGGAAUGUGUGCAUCCGCAUGUCCCGAGGGGCUACUGUGUCUCUAGGAUGGGAGUGAGUGUGUGCCCUGUGUGUUAGUGCUGACUCCAUCAGAACUUCUGGUCCCUCCUCCUCCCUCCCUGAUUGCAUCAUUAGUGCUAAUUGAGGGGCUUUCACACGCCAGUGCAUUAGCUGUUUGGAGUGAGCUCCCCCCUCCUGCGAGAUAAGCUGCCGCCCCUCCCCCUCGUGGCUCUCCACUUCCCUAGGGCACUGAAACUGUCCACCGAGGUCGUCUCACUUCCUCAGGCUCCCUCCUGCUUUGCUCUGGGCAGGAAAAAGUUAUCUCUCUUCCUGCAGUGCCGUGGAUUCGGCUGGAGCGACGGCAUAUGGGGUAAAAUUUAGGGGCUGGAGAAAGAAUCCAGAGCCGCCUUUCUGAGGGGCUUUCUAGGAAGGAGGGGUUUUCCCUCAAGAGGUCUCCUGUUCCUAUCCAACGCAGGGAGGAACUCUGUGACAGGGAAUAAAACUUGCGGCUAGCUCUUUUGGAAGUUCAGCCUGUGAUCGCACUGAGUUCUACAGUGUCUACUCAAGAAGUGUGAGGACCAGCUAGCUACCAUGCCCAGGAGAGGUUUGACUUCUGGCGGUUUCACCUCUGAUGGCUGCACAACCAAACACUGUGACAUCACAUCCUCCCAGCUUGCCCGUGUUGAAGAACUCCGUUUCUUUCAACCCAGGUCGCUAAUGCCUCUGUUGGAGAAUUGUUUUCCUCUCAAAACAACCAGGGGAUGAGCUGAACUGGUAACUCAGGCUUCCAUGGGCUUCCGGUAGCCCUCUAUGCAGCCUGGCACCCCAACUUUCCACCAGCCGGAAGAAAGCUACACUCCUCAGCCUGAGGCAGGUGCUUUCUUCCAGGCCAUCUUCUACCUUCCUGAAGUGCCUUCUCCUGGUCCUUUGGUCCCUUCCUUUGUCUCAGCUGCAUGUGCAAGAUUUUAUAGAAAGUAAAGACAAUCCUUCCAUUACCAGGGUAUGCAGGGCCCUGGAGGAUGUAUUGUUGGAAUUCUGUGGCUUUCUUUCCUUUAAGAAUGUACAGAAUCCCUUGCUCAGGUCUAGGAAAGGCUGCGUAAAGAACUCUGGAUUUGGAGUAAUGUCCCAGUUGACAUUCCGUAGACAAGGUAGUCAACCCUUCUCUGUAUUAUGGUAAGUCCUCAGUAUGU